CCUGGCGGCCGUAGCGCGGUGGUCCCACCUGACCCCAUGCCGAACUCAGAAGUGAAACGCCGUAGCGCCGAUGGUAGUGUGGGGUCUCCCCAUGCGAGAGUAGGGAACUACCAGGC
rnacentral:rRNA from 1 species